CGAGUACUCCGGGUAUGGAGGGAGGAAGAGGAAGCACCUUGUGGGCAUGAAGAGGACAGGAGGGGCGAGAUGAAAGGCUCAGAGUGAGGGGGCCUAGGGCAGCAGAGGGCAAGAUUUACUUUCUUUAUGAUACAUGGAAACCUCUAAAAGUGGCAGGCUUCCUAAAUAUAGUUUUAAAACACUUUUAAAAAUCCUGGUUGAAAACUGAAUUUGUUUUCAGUUUUAUUUAGAUAUGAGUCGUAAUUUCAUUGUUAGCAGAUAUUUUCUUUGAAUUACCUCAUUCGUUUAUUCAGGAUGCACUUACUGAACAACUACUAUGGGCUAAAUAGUGUGUUGGGUGCUAAGGAAAAAAGACGUGAUUCCCAUCCAUAAUGUUUUAUCAGUCACUGUGCUUUUGGCUGUAGGUAAUAGAGGAAACUCCAAAUGACUUUAGUAAGAAGGAAAUCUGUUGGCUCAUACCACUGAAGGUCUGGUGGAGAGGCAGAAUUCAGGGACGUUUUAAUCCAGUAGUUUUGAUGUAGCUUUUCUUCCAUUCUUUUUCCUUACCCUCUCCGUGGAUCAGCUUCAUCAGUGACUAGCAGCAAGAUAAGUAUCAAGUGAAAGGGGCUCUUUCAGGAGCUUUCUAGAGAGCUGGAAAAGCUUUCCUAGAAGCCUCAAAGAAACCUCUUCUUGGAUUUCAAUAGCCCAAGAGACCAAGAUUACACAAGAAAUUAUAGGACUAGUGGAUGCAGAUAUGUGUGGGUUCAGUGAGAGCACUGGGAAGUGGCAUCCACUCUGGAAGGGUGGACAUGGGGGUUUCAGGAGAGGAUUCCUUGAAGAGAUGCUGCCCAAACUAAAUCUGAGAGGAUGAGAAGGAAUGGGGAGAUGGGAAGGGCAUGUAGGGAAUGAGGGAAGUGGGUGCAAAGACAGAAGUGACAGGGUACACUGCACAAAAGCACUACCCUCACUCGUUCUUCAGGUCUCAGCUUUACUUUAUCUUCCCCAGGAGGUUUCACAGAGCCUCGGGUGGUCUCACAGUCCUCUGCACUUAUCCCAUCUUAACACUCACCACACUUCCUGGUUAUUCUUUGAACUGCCUUCUCUUCUUCACUAGACUCUAUGAGGGCAGGGCCCUCGUCUGUCUAAUUUCCUGGUGCCUUGCACGGUGCAGUAAUAAGAAUUACAAAAAUGCUACCACUUCAUUUUUAAUUCAGUAUCUAGCAUCAUCAAAGAUUGCGUUUUCCUUUGUAUAAAGAAAUGUCAUAUUCCUGUGACAAGUUCUUUAUUGUCAUUAAGAAUCAACUCUUUAUAGAUGAGUUGUGAUUAUGCAGUUCCAUGUAAGAAAUAGAAAGAUCUUUAUAAUUAGCCUACACUGCAAAUAAUUCUAUAAGUUUCCCGGGUAAUCAUCUUAUGUGAUAGGCAGAAGGCCUGUUUCUCUAAUGUAAGGGAACAGAGGAGAUGAAUGACUUGAGCCAUUAGAAAGUAUGGUUGGUUGGGACAUCCUCUGCUUUAUGAGCUUGGGAAAAAGGAAAUACCCUUGACUGAAAAGCUUUUUGCAGGUUCUGCUGUUUGGAGUAGAAUCAAAGGACUGGAAGAAAUCUUUAGAAAGUAUCUGGUCCAUGUUUCUCCUUCUACAGAAAAGGGGGCUUGGGCUUAGUGAGGUUAAGAGACUUGCCCAGAGCUGCGCAUGAUGAAUAAGCCUGUGGAAGAGCUGGGGCUAAGCUUGUGUUGCCUGCUUCUCAGACUUAGGAUGUGCUCUGUGCGAUGCCAUGCUGCCCUCUUGGACUCUUCAGUCUUGAAGAAACUUAACCAGAUGUGAGAAGCAAAAUUCUUCUGUGUGAAUUCAUUUGAAAAAAAUACCCCACUGGUUUUGCAGUUUUACAGAGUGGAGAUUUACUGACUUCGGAAAAUUAAGGAGUUAAGCCCCUCAAAUACUAAAUUAAAUCUGCUCAUAGCUUUAAAAAACCAAAACUCGUUUAAGCAACUUUUCCUAAGUUCAGCAGAAGCCCAGGCUCCUCUCGGAAAGGAAGCAGAUCGAAGCUGUUCUGUUAGGCUGUGCAUUGUGUUUUUCUUCUCCGAGAGCUCGGGAGAUUGGCGUUGCUCCGCAGUAGUGUCACAGCCCGCAGUCAUUUAAUGCCUCUUCUUGAGAGGCCAGGCUUCCACGCCCAAGUGCAUUUAGUAGGUCAGUACAGUAAUUUUAAAUGUCUUUCUUUCAAUCUUUUGCCAUCUUCAAUUAUACCUUUCCACCCUACUAUUUGUGUAAUUUUCUUCUGUCUGAAGUCUCUUUACUGUUGUUCUCUAUUGCACAGCAUGACAAAUUACCCAUCAAGCCAUAUCUUUUCAGCCCAGAAAUGCGCAAUAACACGGAGUCAUGGCAUUAUCGCAUGUUGUGCACUUUAUUUCCUCACAGUUCAUUCAAGUGUGUCACUUUAUUUUCCUGGCUUCCUUUUGUCAUCAUGGAGAUUAACCAUUUUAUCCUUCCUAAACUUUAGAAACAAUUAGAAUUUCAUUAUAGUGGAAGCUGAGAGUGAGUGCUGGCUCAGUACUAUAUGGAGUAUACUUUUCAUAUUAUCGGUGGCAAAAUUAAAGCCAUGAAUCCUGAGUCCUUUUCGAAGGAGCGACUUUAGAGGUUAUUAUACAGCUGAGUAACCCUGGCUCUGGACAAGAGAAUUAUUUGAGCCUGUGGCCACCAAACACAUUAACCGUAAGAAACCAUUUAGUCUGACAUUGAGUACCUGAUUCUUCUGUUCUCCUGGGAAUUAUGAAAGUCUCUGGGGCCCAUGUGUUCUGUACACAAAAUCUUUUUUUCCCCUCUUAGCUUUGGCUAAAUACCAAUAGUGUACAGUGUGCAAUGAGAUACAAUAGACAUUGCAAGUAUGUGUUAGAAAAUCAAUUGGUAUUGAUGCUCUAAUCAGCGGGGCUGCAGCUGGUAUGUAGACACAUCACUGGAAAUGGUGAUUAAGAUUGUAUUCAAAAGCAUUAAAAAAAAAAGCCCACAACGUUUAGAUCACUGUUCAGAUAGAUUUCUGUUUUACUUGGAUAGUAGAUGAGUUGGGCAGCCAGUGAUGCUUCUAGGUUCUACUAGACUAAUUUAUAAGAUGUAUUAUCGUGUAAUAUAUUUUAUAGGUUGCAUUUAUAAUUUAUUUUAAAUUAUACAUUUAUAGGAUAUAGGAUGGUGGUUAUUGGUAAACAAACAAACAAAAAGUUCAAAGUUCUUUUGCCACAGCCAGUUUACAGCCUGCUACUAAAUACAGAUACUGAAUAGGAGCUGCUCUGGAGAAAGGGCAGAGAAAGGAAGGGGGCGUGGUUACAGUCUAGUUUUAGUCUGAAAACACAUUUAGUGAGGAGAUUGAGAGGGCAGGGGAAGAGAGAGACAGACAGACAGAGAGAGAGCGAGGGAGGGAAGGAGGGAAGUGGAGAGGGGACAAUGGUAAUGAAUGUGAAAUAGUCUGGAGGAGAAGCCAGUAAGAAUCAUGGGAUGACAAGGGAGGUUUUCAGAAUUCAAAGAAAUGGAACCGUAGGAAUAUGAGGCAGGGCUUCCUACUCAGGCAUUUUCUACCCAUGAGCAAGUAAUUAGCUAAAAUAUUAGCUAAAAAAUUCUUUUAGGAGAACUUAAGGAUGAAAAGAGACUUGAACUGGAAAGGGUGGUUGCUUUCAUAAAACACUUCAUUUUCUAAUAUAUCUCCAUGUGUUCCUGUGAACACCUUUAGGUUGUACUAAAAAUAUAGCCAUUGAAAGAUCAACUGUAUAUGUAAUUUUCAAUUUUAAGUGUUUUUAUGAGUAGAGAAUAAGCUGGAUGUUUAAAAUAAAUCUAGGUACAGAGGUCCUGCCUUUUUAUCUCUACAUUAUCUUUGACACUCAGCUAAGCUCUAGUCUAGAAGUAUCAAAGCCCAACUAGAAGAUGGAACACAGGUACCGAAACAUUGGAAUGUGUGUCCUUUAGAAACAGUAACCAUCACAGCAAAGACAAGCUGCUGCUAUUAUUGUAAGUGUGGGAGGCAAAAUGCUAUGGAGAGGAGCAAAAGCCCGGUUCUCGAAGCAUUUAACGGUCGUUUUUAAAACCAUAUAACACAUUGAGACUUCCCAUGUAUGAUUUUAACAAGCAGCCAGUAACUAAAAAAAAAACAAAAGGAAAGCAAAAGAAUUCUGGGGAAUGAAAGGGGAAACAGCAACAAAUAAUUAAAACUGCAGAGAACUUCCUAGUUUUCAAACUACUUUUAAAUGUACUUUUUCAUAUGUUCAUCACAAACGACCUGCAGAUAAAAUAGGACAGGAAUUACUAAAGCCCUUUUAAUAGAUGAAGAAAAUGAGACUGGAUAGGAAAGAGACUCAGCUGAGGUCACACAAGCAAGUGGGCGCAGUAGUCCUAGAAAUGAGGUCUCUAGAACCCUGCUGUCCAGUAUGGCAGCCGCCAGCUACGUGGGGCUAUUGAGCACUUGAAAUGUGUCUCGUCCUCCUUGAGAUGGGCUCUAAGUAUAAAAUAUACACCAGAUUUCAAAAACUUACUGCAAAGAAAAAAGAAUAUUUUACUUGACAUCAUGGGUGUAUUGAGUUAAAUAGAAUAUAUUAAAAUUAAUUCAUCCAUUUCUAUUUACUGUUUAAUAUGGCUACCAGAAAAUUUAAUGUUACUUAUGUGGCUUGCAUUUGUGGCUUGCAUUAUAUUUCUGUUGCUACUCUAGGCAUCUCAUCCAAUACUCUUCCAGGAAAAAAAAAAAGGAAGGAAAAAAGGAGAAUGGGAUAUCAUGGAGUUUGAAGCAUUCAUUCUUCAAUGAUAAAAGUGUCUCAGUUCUAUUUAUCAUUUCAAUUCAAUUCAGUAAAAAACCAUGGAGUACCUAAUAUUUAUUACAGUGGUUCUAGGCAUUAUGUUCAGCAUAUUUUGAAGAGAGAGGAAAAGGAUCAUAACAAAGAGAAUAUCUUUUCUGGAAUUCUCUAAGCGGAUGUACAUGAGAGGAAGCAUACAAAAGAUUCUCUCAUUAGACUUUAUCAAAUCUGUUCUCAAGGAACCGCAACUAGUGCAGAUGUGAAGAACCUGAGAUUUUCUUGGCUGGAAGAGCACCCUGGUCUCACACACCCAGGGGUGUUUUGGCAGGUGCAGGGAGGAUAUGUGGUCUGUCAUGCCACGUGUCCGAGCAGACUCCACCUUCGGGGAGGAGGACCUUGGCAGAGGACAGACAAGUGAAGCGUAUUAAGGAAUAGCUGUAUGAAAAAUGCAGCUCAGAGUAGGAAGAAGGGAAGUGUUGAAAAACUAAUGAACCAUAAGAUCUCUGCAAUCACCUCUUAAUAGUACAUUAUUGAAUAACACCGGUGUGCGCUAGGUUAGUUAGAACGUGUUACAUCCGAUUUCAUGAGCUAUAUGUCAGUGCACACCUAGUUCUUGAGGAAAGGACUGAACCUACCGUUGUCACUUAGAACACACCCUAGUAAUUACUGCUAUAGAUUCCAGUCUCAGAAAAUAUUAAUGUUUUUACAAUCAGUUUUCAAAACCUCGAGUGCAACAAAGGAGAAUCGCGCGACUCUCGCAAGCUUUCAAGAUUUGAGCGGAAGGGGAAAAAUACACUUGCGUGAUAUUGUAAAUGAAAUUCUGCUUUUAAAAUUCUAGAUCUAUUUGAAAUCUGUCAUUUAAAAAUUAAUAACCGUUUUCCUUGAACACAGUCUGUGUGAAGAAACCCAAUCCACUUCUGAACAGUUCUUCCUUCCUUCCCAGACCCGUGGAAAUUCACUACUGUUGCUGACAAACAAAAUGCCACAAGAUUUGUCAUACAAAUCACAUUAUAAGAGGUUCCAAAAACUUGACAACGUUGACAGUUGUUUUCAGCAAAUGGCUGCUUUACUCUGUACUGUCAAUGUUGAUGUCCCUGUGCACAUGUAAAAGAGCAAUGUGAUUAAGGCAAGCUUGUCCACGCUAUAUCUGAGCCAAGUUUUCCGUCUCCGCGUGGCACUGAAAGAUUGCUCAGCUGUUGCAGAUAAGGCAGGAAUAGCUAGCAGAUUUCUGCCAUUUAAAAAAAAAAAAAAACAUUCUCUGGGCAUGCAUUUCUGUAGGAAUUUACCAACAUCUGUUGCUGACCUAAAGUUUUCUAUGGAAGUGGCAUAUUUAAUUUAUAUAAGUCAUUUACAAUGGUAUUGGUCAAGCCGAAUUUCCUUAGGAAAUAAUGAGUUGCGUUCACCAAGAAGAGAUGGGUUGAAGUUUAAUAACAUUUAUGUUCUCUUAAAUUGUCAUUGGAGCUUCAGGCCUCAUGCAUUUUUGGCCCAUCUUACAUUUAUUUUCUGCAUGUUCUCUAAAUUAUAUUUCUGCAGAGAAACUUUUUAGAAAGAAGAAUAAAGAGCUGAGAGAUUUUGGUGAUUCCACAGAAGGCCUACACUUCACACUUAUCUUUUUUUUAUAGGCUCUCUGAAAAUGUUUGAUUUUUGGAAGCUAAUUUAUUCCGGGAGAAUUUUGUAGUUGAAUUUUAGUGUGAUUUAAAAUUGUCAUAUGUGCUAUCCUCAAAAGAACAUUUAGGAUUUAGGUAUUUCUUGUUGUCAAGGUAACUUUUGAUAACUUCUAAUCCCUUUGAUUUUGGAUAUCAUCUAUUUACCAUUUUAGUUACCGCUGCUCAUUUUUGAAAUUUAUUCUCUGUAUGUUUGAAUUUUUUUAAUUCAGUUUCUUUUGAAGUAUGGAUGCUCUUCAGGUAAAAAUACAAAACUUAAGUUAGUCCUGGCGAUUCAAACCUGUCUCGUAACGCAUUUGUUAUUUGAUUCAUCUGUUCUUAUUCUUGGUCACCUUCUAGUACAGCUGCAUGCUUUAACUGUCUGACUUGUCUUUGAAAAUCUUAAGCCACAUUCUUUGGAACAGUUGCUUCAUGUUGGUUGAAAUUCUCUGUGGCACUUUUUUCCAUUCACAGGAGCCAACAGCCACCAUAGCAGACACAUAGUUUCCAAGAACUUAGGCAUGGUUCGUGAUUCCUGAAUCUCAACAAUUUCUUGUAGGAAUUGGAAUACCAUGUACAGUGUCUAAAACUUUUGUGCUGUAAAUUCAAAGGAAAAAAGUAUGCGUUUAUACUAUAAAGUUAAAUAAGCAUCCAUCAUUUUAAAAUAUCGUCAUUCUUGUAGCUAGCAGAGACACAACUUGAAAACCCACUAAUAAAAUAAAAUUAAUCCAAUGGCCUGAGCAAGUAAUUAGCUAAAAAUAUUAGCAAAAAAAUUCUUUCAGGAAAAAUUAAAGAUGAAAAGAGAUUUGAACUAGAAAGGCUAGGGCUUUCUAAAAUAACUCCUUAUUUUCUAAUCUAGAUUCAUGUUUCCCUGUGAACACCAUUAGGUUGUAGUAAAAAUAUAUCAAUUGAAAGUUCGAAUUUUAGGUCCCAAAUUACUGCCUUUCAGAUCCAGUGAGGCAUCUAAAAAAUGGAUCAAGGUAACAAUGCCUAAUUUGAAAAGUUAACAAAAAGUUGCUUAUGGAAAUAAAAUGAAAAUCCUUAUAAUGGUGAUAACCUUACGCCUGUCUCAUUUCCAUUGUCAAUGAAACGCUAUAGGAAGCAGAAAUCCUUGUGAAAUAUUUGCCAUGGCUAGCAUCUUUGUUUUCAUGUUGCCAAGGGAGAAGAAAGGAGAGAUUUCCCUUAGAACGUUUAGAUCCUCUGAUUAAGCAACUGAUUAAAAAAACAUGAGUGGUUUAUAAAAAAAGAGUUGAAGUAAAUACAGAGAAGCACAAAGUGUGUCAGCGGAGAAGAGCAUGCAGGCCAGAAAAACAGGGACGGGCUCUUUUUUUUUUUUCUGCUGAUUUUCAUUUUCACAAAUUUUUAUUUUGUAAACUUUCAUUAGUAUUAUGUCACUAAUGACUUUUUGCACCUGAAUAACAGUUUAUGGACUGGAAAUAAAAUAACAAUGUCUCAUUUAUGAGAUUUGUGAAGCUCUGGUCUUAGCUGCUUCUUUAAUUAUGAUUUUGUUUUUAAUUCCAGAAAUGCAUAGUCUGUCUGGGACUCACAUCUUCUCACAGCCAAUAUCUUCCCAAGGCUUUGUCUCAAUCCAUUUAUAGAUAUGUCAUUGAUAGACAAAAGCAGAGUGUGGGGAAAAUAAAACCACUGUUUGUAU
ensembl:lncRNA